rnacentral:rRNA from 1 species
GAUGAACGCUAGCGGCAGGCCUAACACAUGCAAGUCGAGGGAGAGGUUACCGUCGGGUAACCAACGCCGGCGCACGGGUGCGGAACGCGGAUACAAGCUGCCAUUCACUUAGGGAUAGGGCGACUAAAUUUGGAUAAAUACCUAAUGGUCUAUAAAUGCGGCCUCGUUUUUAUAUUAAAGCUGCUGAGGUGAAAGAUGAGGAUGCGUUCUAUUAGCUCGUUGGAGAUGUAAGGGCUCCCCAAGGCGACUAUACACAGUGGGUCUGAGAGGGACGUCCCCCACACUGGUACUGCGAUACGGACCCGACGCCUACGGGACGCAGCAGUGUGGUACAUUAGGCAGCGGUCGGGAGUCUGAGCCAGCCAUGCCACGUGCAGUCUGACGGUCCUAUGGAUUGUAUACUGCUUUUGUAAGGGAAGAAUAAGAGUUCCGUGUAGUUUGAUGACGGUACCUUAAGAAUAAGCAUCGGCUAACUCCGUG